GAGGACGGGCACUCCUUCCUCCGCGGCCAAACGUUGCAUUUCCCAAGACCACCCUGACCCGCCACGCCCCCAUCCUGUGCCUAUAAAAACUCCCGAGACCCUAGCGGGCACAGACACAAGCGGCUGGACAUGAAGAGGAACACACCGGCGGGAGAACACAGAACACGCACCCUUUCUUUUAGUCACCCUGGAGGCCUCGGAGAAGGCGGUUUCAGUGAUCCGUGAAGAGACCCCGAGUCUUUUACAUCCCGGAGAAUGACAAGAGAGCGAGUACCUGGGCGACGUUUACGUUCUGGGAUUUCGGGAGAUGCGGUUUUCUGCACGCCAGGGGCCAAGCCUGAGACGUAGAUGGACGGCAGGGAUAGGAGCUCUCUCCGCGCCACAAACGCCCCUGCUCAUACCUGGGUUCCUUGAUUUUCCUGCCUAUAUAACCCAGCCUCCCAUGGCCGGGCUCUGAGCUCUCAUUCUGCGGACUGGGACAAAGGGGUUAACUGUGAUGCGCUUUGUAUAACCCCAGGAUUCUGCACUUGCCCAAGGGCGAGGUGCAAAUCAAAAACUACGCACAACUGAACACCGAGAUCAGGUGAGUCCUGAGUGUCUCACGACAUAAAAUCCUUACGAUUUUAACAAGAGUUGUAUUUGUGCUAGCACUGUUAACUGACAAACGCAUGCCAGAUCCUAUCUGUCUUUAGCUCAAUGUGUGACGUUAGACACGUCGUUUUGCUCUUCAACUUUCUUAUUUGGAAAAAAAACAAGUGUUCUAGAUUUGCAGAGGACAUUUUCGGAGCUAAGUUCCAGUAGCUAUACUGUAAGUUGAUUUCUUGGGCAGUUCUGUUGGUGAGGAAAGAGGGCAAAUUGAGAAAUGAACAAACACAGAAGUUGCAAAAGCCCUGUGACUUACAGCACAGGACAAGUCUACAAACCCUGCCAUGCUACACUAAGCUCUAAUUGUUUUAACACCAGCUUACUCAGACCCGAUGAUCCAAGAUAAGACCAAAGCCAAACGGAUCCAGCAACUCUGCGCAGAUCUUCAUGUUCCAGCAGCUAAGUUCCACUGAAUAAACCUAUGAUUCGCCUAGUUUAGAAAUUGUCUAGUCCCUCCUGAGAAGGACCUUACUAACUUUCCCCCUAAAAGUGUCCUAUGAAUAGCUCCAGUCCCCAAACCCUUUAAAUUCUGGUCUCUGACUCACCCUUGUUUUAGGCAGUACUGGGACUCCACAGAGGUACGGCUCUUUGCUCAGCAAGUUUAAUAAAUCCAAGGAUCCCGACUCAGAUUGAAAAAGCAGAGGAUGGUCACUGCCUUCCAGGUCUGAGGCUGUCUCCCAGAAGCUUCACUCCUGGCUUCGCCUUGGUAGGGAAGUUUCCGGAGGUGUUCGAAAACCUGGAAACUUAAGUGGGACAUAGGACGCUAUUUGUGUCCCGGUUAUAAAAAUUGGCAGAAAAGACAAGUGUAGUGUGGGGGAUUAGCUCAAGCGGUAGAGCGCCUGCUUAGCAUGCAAGAGGUAGCAGGAUCGAUGCCUGCAUUCUCCAGCUUCUUUUAAUCCCUAGGCUACCAAUGGUAUCUGGCCUAGAUGACAGUUGCACAGUACUCGUUAUUGUUGUGGCAGUAUCUGUGUGGAUUAUUGGCCUCAUCCACUGUGCCUGGUGCUGAAGAAGUGCUUCAGGAAUGAAUCCACAGAUUGAGAUGAAAAUUCUCAAGCUUUCUCUUUCUCAACUCCUCCAAGGUUCUCCAUCACUUUCUGAGUCCUACAGGAGGAAAGUGCUAUUGAAGAUGCGGCUAUGCCGUGAAGCUCUGGGGCUGGGAGAAGCUGUCCCACCACUUCCGGGCGGCGGUGGCGGCAAGGAGCAGUUUGUAUUCCCCGUUGUUUCUCCUGUUGACGACAUCUGUGCCUCUUAUCUGGGAGAAGAUCAGAGGAAACUGCCGCCUCCCUAGAGCCCGUGUUUUAUUGAUCCCCGUGUAAGAGUCUUGUUGCCCCUGCUUCCAUCCUCCCUUCUUUUCCACUCCUGCCACAGGUUUGGCACUUCUAGGUACUCAGGUGUCAGCGCAAAUUUCCCGUCUUUAGACAAGUACAGCUAAAAGUGAUGCCCACACGAUCUCUCAGUUCCUAUUACAUCUUCACAAAUAUCGUCUCCUCCGGAAAGUAUGUCUUUGAAUUAUUGGUUUGUUUUUCUCUCCCCUAGAAUGGGAGCUUCCUGAGUACCGAAACACUGUCUAUGUAGACUGUGUUUAACUCACUUCAUCACCAUGUGUAGAGUUAAGGUCCUAUAAAAUACGGUUACUGCCUUGAACAGAUGAGGUGAGUAGUAUAAGGAAACGGAGAUCAAACACAAAGCAAUACUUAAAAAAAUUAUCCUGCCACAUUUCUAAAAUCUUAAUAAUAGCAUUCACUAAUGUUUUUUGGUUUUCCUUUGUGCUUUCUCCAUAGCCCCUUAUUCUUAUCAUUAUUUUUGACAUUUGACUCACAAUUUUCCAUUUGUUUUCAAAUGACCAAGCAGAUUUUCCAAUUUUCUAGUUAAUUCCUGUGUUUCCUUCACCAUUCUGUUUUCUGGUUUUCUUUUGGGCUA
rnacentral:tRNA from 1 species